GUCAAGAAAUAAAAUCAGACAGGCGGCUUGCCACCAUUAGGAAGAUCUACCCACUUCCUCUCCUCCAACGCUCUUUUCUUUUCAAGUAAACUUUUAUCAACCUUUGUUUAUCAAUCUCUUGAUAUCCCAUUUCGGGAUUCAUUUCUAUAUUGUUUAUUUUCUGUUUUAUCUGUGCAUGUUGUCGUAAUGAUAGUUGAAAUAUCAAGAAGCUUGACUGAUCAGCAAACUAAGAUUCAAAAUGAUUUCACUCUUCUUUGAUUUAGUUUAUUGGUGAUACAUGUUUCAAGGUUUGAUAUUAUGACGUAGAUGUCUCUACAAGAUCGAUUACCAUAUGUUGUAGGCAAUUUGAUAUCUCCUUUCCGUCUAUUCACCAAGCAGAAGGAUGGGUUAUUUGGAUUUUCGAAAGAUUACUCUGAUUUAAAGCUCUAUCAUUAUAAAGAGAAUUGGUAAUGAAAUCUUCCUUCGUCCAAUUAUAUAUAUUGGAUCAUCCACGUCUGCAAAAGCUGCUAUUUUCAAUCUUUUUUGUUGCUUUGCUUUUUUUAUUUGCCAAAAUUAAUCGAAGUUGCUUACUCUCUACUAUCAUUGAUUUCAUUGCUCUACAAGAUUUUGAUAGCACAUUUUGUAAUUUAGUAUGUAAAUUUAUUCUUUUUUUUUUUAUGACAUACUGAAAUUUUGCCCUACUAACUUCUGUACUCUUCUUUAUUUUCUCGCUUAUCCAGAAGUAAUGAGAGGUUUAUGGGCAGAAGGGUAUGCAGAGAUUAAACAAUAUUAAUUUGGAACAGGUGAGAAGCAACAGAAUACUAAUAUAGUAUUUUAAUUUUUUUUUCUUAUUUGAUAUAUGCUAUUUUGAGUGAAAUCUUUUAUCUGACGUCGAGUUAAACAGGUGAUACUAAUGCUUGAAAUAAGUUGCUCUGACAUUAGUUCUCUGCCAAUGUAUUGGUUUAUCUUUUAUUUUUAAUAAUUAAUUUGAGGUCUUACAGUAUAACUGAAGAAUUGAAAAAGUAAUUUGGAUUGUCAUCAGCCACUAUGUAACUUUCUUUAUAAGGUGGUCUUAAGUUUCUUUUGUACUUUAGGCUAAGCAAAUAACUUAUCAAAUUAAUUAUCUCAAAAAUUCAGGGCAUCUCAGAAAAUGAAUUGAUCUUAGUUCUGGUGAGAAGAUUGUCUAGGAAAAUGACCGAUGAGAAAUAGUAUGAUAAUUUAUCUUGGUUUUGGAACUAUGGAGUGUCUUAGUAGAUAUAUGCUUUACCAAUCAACAAGAUAUGGAGCUUCUGAUAGCAAAAGCUUUUUGGACCAAGCAGACGGCAGUGGCUUAAUUUCUGUUAAAACUCAUUUAUUUGGUCUCUCUCAAAUUCCGUGAGGGAGCAUCUUUAGUUGUGAAAAAGACCUUAAUGAAUGUAUUUCAUGCCUUUAUACAAGAGAACCGUAAUUUAAAUUGGCUCCAAUAAUGCCACUUCUUAUGCUCACAGCUCUAUACUUCUCUCUUUGAUGAUCCCAUGUUGGCAAAAUUUGGUUCCUCAAUCUGAUUUUUCGAGGAAAGCAUAUGGACAAGUUUCCAUUUGAUCGAGAUGUCUGGUAUAGCUUCUUUUCAUAUCAUGGUAGUGGAAAUGGAUAUUAGCAAAACUUAAGCAAAGUUUAAUGGCUAUUCUCCGAAACACUGGUAAAUGUUCGUUCUUUUUUUUUUAUUCCAGUUAAUUUUUCUUUAUUGUUGAUAUGAAUCAUGUAUUAUGAAAUACGAUUGUAGUGUGUCUAACGUUUGACAUUCUGAUAGUUUUUACCAGCAACAAAAUAUAUGAAGCAAGUCCAAAAACCUUAAAAUGUACCCUAACUACCGAGAUUCUGUCUGGCACGAUGUGUACGAAUAUACUUUCCAUGACCUUUAGACAAGUGAUUCUGCCGUAUAUUUAGAACAUUUAACAUAUAAUUUUUAUACCAGUGGCUGAAAGAAAAAUAGAUGAUCAUGAAACACCAAGAGACGUGGGGAAUUUCUUAUGUUUUAAUAUCACCUAUCGGCUAUCGCUGCUUCCUCCAUGUCUAUCUUUCUAUCUCUCUAAUUCUGAUAAUCAUGUAUUUUCAUUCAUCAAGCUCUCUUCUAAUAUCAGAUUUAUACUGUCUAUCUUGCAGAUACCACGUGAUACUGAUAGAUUAAGUUAUGUUAUUCCUUUCCUAUCAUCACCUCAUCAGAUGAACGAGUCAUUUUUGUUAUUAUUGAAGUUAUAUCUUACUGCGCUUGCGCUUGAAAGCACAAAAGAGAUUUUCUUAAUUAAUCUCCAAGACCAGUAGAAAAGCUCUUUCCCUUGGUUUCACAAGCAUAAUAUUAUUAUUGUGUCAGAAGAUUCAUCUGUUGCUCUAUACAACUUACUAGAAUGUGAGAUAAUUUCAAAUUCCUAUAUUUUGCUCCAGC
rnacentral:lncRNA from 1 species